rnacentral:tRNA from 1 species
GUACACAUGGUGUAGUGGUUAACACAUUCGCCUAACAGGCGGAAGGUCCCAGGUUCGAAACCUGCUGGGUACA